GACGAACGCUGGCGGCGUGCUUAACACAUGCAAGUCGAACGGAAAGGCCCUGCUUUUGUGGGGUGCUCGAGUGGCGAACGGGUGAGUAACACGUGAGUAACCUGCCCUUGACUUUGGGAUAACUUCAGGAAACUGGGGCUAAUACCGGAUAGGAGCUCCUGCUGCAUGGUGGGGGUGGGAAAGUUUCGGCGGUUGGGGAUGGACUCGCGGCUUAUCAGCUUGUUGGUGGGGUAGUGGCUUACCAAGGCUUUGACGGGUAGCCGGCCUGAGAGGGUGGCCGGCCACAUUGGGACUGAGAUACGGCCCAGACUCCUACGGGAGGCAGCAGUGGGGAAUAUUGCACAAUGGGCGGAAGCCUGAUGCAGCAACGCCGCGUGCGGGAUGACGGCCUUCGGGUUGUAAACCGCUUUCGCCUGUGACGAAGCGUGAGUGACGGUAAUGGGUAAAGAAGCACCGGCUAACUACGUG
rnacentral:rRNA from 1 species